AGUCGCUGCUUGUUUCCGGCGGACCUUUUCUGGUGUGACACUAGAUCAUGACGACAGUACACAGAAUCACACCGAUCCCCGAAAACUGUGUUUACACCAGCUGUUAUUGUGAAGAAAAUGUGUGGAAGCUGUGUGAAUUUGUUCAGAAAGAGAGAACUGCUCCACUGGAACAGCUGUUUGUCGUUUUUAUCUCUAAUGACAAACGGAUGAUUCCUCUGUGGAAGCAGAAAUCCGGACAUGGCGACCAGCCUGUGAUCUGGGACUACCAUGUGAUCCUGCUUCAGGUGCGCCCUCAGUCGGACUCUCUGGUUUACGAUCUGGACUCUGUAUUGUCGUUUCCCUGCAGCCUGCGGCUCUACGGAGCCACGGCCUUCCGCUCGGACCGCCACAUCCGACCCGAGUACCACAGGAAGCUGCGUGUGAUUCCUGCUGACAGCUUCCUGUUGAACUUUGCGUCUGAUCGAUCUCACAUGAGGAACCCUGAUGGAACCUGGAAGAUGUGUCCUCCUCCAUACGCACCCAUCCAGACGGCAGAGAGUCAGAUGAACCUGGAUGACUUCAUCAGUAUGAGCCCUGCUGGCGGCUGGGGAACCGUCUACAGUCUGGAUCACUUCCUGCUCACAUACACUGGAAACCCGUCCACAGCAUCGUCUUCACCCUGAUCUUCCUCAACGCCACCAGCAGCAGAUGUGGUUACAUGACAUUGUUGCUUCAGAUUGUUCAGAAUCAACGGUUGUGUUGGACUUUUAUCCUGGUUCUGAUGUUGGAUCCUCUAGUUUCGACCUGUGGAUUAUUUUCUGAGUAAUAAAAACAUUUUUAUCGUCUAUGGACAUGUUGACAUUAAAAUCAGAGCUUGAGGAAAACAAGAUGGACCAACUUCUAACUGGAAACAGCAGAGUACUGGAAAAAUCUUGAAGCGAAGAGAGAGAAGAAAGAAAUGGAGCUGAAGAUCAAAAGAAACCUUGUCUAUAUUCAACAGAGUCAGUGGAUCUCACUGAAAAGUGCUUUCGGCCUUUUUGAAAUGCCACUAAUGGAGAAAACAAAAUCACUAAAAAUGGAGCUCAGAGAAAGAACCGAACUGCUCAGUUUAUUGCAGCUGGAUGAGUUGGAGGAUAUGUUGGUGGAAAGACAACAUCUUUUCUGCAGCUACUUUACGCCAAAAUCAUGUCGGGAGCAGAUGGAGAACGAGAUCAUUAAGAAAGCUGGUAAAAUACCAGCUAUCCACAAGAAGAAUGUAAAGGCAAACUUGGAGAAAAUCUUCAGAGAAGAUCGCCAUUGUGCUUCCUGUCUAUCAUACCUCAUGACUGGGGAUAAAACAAAGAAUGGUAAAAUGAUGUGGAAGCAUCUGGCAAACUGGAGGAGAGCAGUGAGGAAAGAAAAAUACUUGAGUGAAAAUUCCACUUAUUGUUAGCCUACCAAAACUACAGCCUGCAUGGCCAUAAAAAGAUGACUAACAGAGUAAUCCAUUCAUUAGCUGCUUCCUGUUGAUCUUUUUCUGUUGCAUCGUGAAGGUUAAUUUUAGAAAAUUUCCCCUGUGUACAGUUGAAACCAAAACUUGCACUUGCAUGUUGACCUGCAGUAACAUAAUCCAUGCAGGGUGAAGGAACCCAUGUAAAAUCUAAAGUUAACUAAAAUGUCAUGCUAUCUCCAAGGCUAGCACUAGCAUGUUGACCUACCAUAUUCCACGCAGAGUGAAAGAAUCCAUGCAAAAGCUACAAUUAGCUAAAAAACCAAAGCUAGCUAAAAUGUUCACUAUAGCAUCUAGGCUAGCACUAGCAUGGUAACUACAAAAAACAGAAAAACCAAUGUAAAAGCUCAAAUUAGUUAAAAUAUUAGCUUAAAGGGUAUGAUAAUUAUGUUGAUUUUUGCUAGCAUAAUAGCUGACAAUGCUAAUUUUAAUAUAUCGUCUAACCUUAGGACAUUAGCAACCAAUAAUCUGCUGGAUGUAAAAUACUUAAACAGCCUGUAUGUCAAACAGUCGCAGGUAUUAAACAGCACAAAAGGUGUUUACCUGUCCAACCUCAAAAUGGCCACUGCCUUGUCUCCCCCCUGACAGCUCUGAAACUGGAUGUUUCAUUGUAAUUAGUUAGACAGGAACUGAAACAUCAACUGUUCUUCUUCUUGAAAUUUAUUGGCGGUUAGCAUUAAACUUUAGGUGAGCAUUACCGCCACCAACUGGUAAGGAGUGUGGACCACAUGACAAAAAAAACAACAACCAAAAAAAAACCCUAUCCUAUUAUACAACUUACAUUUUUUCAAAAAAUCUAAUAUAGCCUGACAUCUUCUGCUUCCUGAGUCCUUUUGCAGUAAAUCAACAUUGUCAAAUUUCAUUUUCAUAUUACUAAGGUUCCUAAUUAACUUGUUUCUCUGAAUCAGAUAAUUCCUACAACUCAAAAUAACAUGUUCCACUGUGUCAUCUUCCCCGCAGUAACAUUUCCCUGUCUGAUGUUUCCCUAUCAAAAAUAGAGAUCUAUUCGAAACAUCAACAGUAAAACACAAACAUUUUAUAUUGUAAUUCUCAAUUCUGCCACAGGAGGGGGCUGUCCCUGUUCCAUUAAUUUCAAUGGGGCUGAAAAUUUAAUGAAAAACUGAAUAUUAUAAAAAGUAUAAAGGUUAUGAAUAUCAAAAGACAUAGCCGGCAUUAGCAAAACAAGCUGAAUAGUGUAAAAGUUGAAUGGUGAAAAUAGCCAGAGUGGUUAUAAAAUGACUUAAGGAAAACAAAGUCUGUGCUUUUGUGUGGCUAUCACAACGCCUUGGUCUCAGUAAGCUGUGGAAAGAUUUGGAAAGCUGUGUCUGUGCCUACAAAGCUGACUCAGUCACUCAAAUUGAGGAAAAAAAGAUGUAUAUGUUUUUUAUUUGAAAUAUAUAAACACCUUGCUUCAACUCUUAAUCUAACUGUGCUAAUCUAAUAAUGUUAAUCUAUUAUCUUUGUUAUUUUGUGUGAGAGGUGCUAUACAAAUCAAAUUUUACUUACUUUUCAGACACUCUCCAAAGCAUUUCUUGUUUUCAACAGGCAAGAGUACAGGUUUACAGCUAAAUCUGCUUUGUUUUUACUUGUCUUACUGUCUUUUUCUCAUCUCACUGAAUUCAGUGGCCGUGAUUGGGAACUGAUUGUAAAGAAUUGUAUUAUUUUUAGUGUUUUUGUUUUUGAUACAAUCACCAUCAAAAUCAUACUCCGUAUCUGUUCCACUCUGUGUUGUCGUUUCCCUGCAGCCUGCGGCCCUACGGAGCCACAAGGGAGUAAAUUCCAUGUCAUUAUUGGGGAGGACAACAAACAGGAAAAUUUCUUUAGAGCAAUUUUGGGGGGCCGGCAAACUUAUAUUGAAAUGUAACGUAACGUGGUUUAAAAAGUUUUUAAACCACGUUCAAGCUGCAGGACCAAAACUGAUUAUUAAUGCACAUCCAACGUGUUUUUCUCAGUAAGCAAACUGUUGAGAAGCUCAACUACAAUUCAAGUGUUGCUUCUAUAUGAGUUUUGUUCAGUCUCACUGAUCUAAUCUCUGCUACACCUUUACAAAAAAUGUAAGGUUCUAAAUAAAAAGCUUUAAUGAGUAACUGCUCUUAAUAAAAUUCCUCAUGAAC